UACGUAGGGGCCGAGCGUUGUUCGGAAUUACUGGGCGUAAAGCGUACGUAGGCGGCUUUGUAAGUUAGAGGUGAAAGCCCGGGGCUCAACCCCGGAAUUGCCUUUAAGACUGCAUCGCUUGAAUCGCGGAGAGGUGAGUGGAAUUCCGAGUGUAGAGGUGAAAUUCGUAGAUAUUCGGAAGAACACCAGUGGCGAAGGCGGCUCACUGGACGCGUAUUGACGCUGAGGUACGAAAGCGUGGGGAGCAAACAGG
rnacentral:rRNA from 1 species